AAUUUGGGGAAAGAAAGAAGAAGAAGAGAGAGAAGAGAGAGAAGAGAGAGAAAGAGGUACCCCCAUCCUUGCUCCAUGGACAGAAACCAAAAUUCUGCCUGCUUCCAUUCUUUUUUUUUUUUUGUUUUUU
rnacentral:ribozyme from 13 species